CCGAGAGUGGCCUGGGCCGGCCUGGCUAUCUCUCCGCGGCCUCACGGGCUCCUCGCAAGCGGGGAAGCGGCGGAACUGCGGUGGCUCUUCCUUCCCUUCGGGCGGACGGGGCUCCUCGAGCCCCUCGCGAGGCCUCAGCCGGCCUGAUUGACCCCGCGUGGAAGGAGCGUUUGGGGUGAAGGGAGGGACGACGAAGCCCAUCAUCCGUGGCGGGCCGAAUAAACCCCUUUGGCUUAUUUAUAUACAUGAUAUAAGUAGUAAAUGAACCAGUUUUAUGCCCCCGCCUGCCUGAGCAGUGAACUCUUGCUCUUCGGCCACAGAUGGGCUUUGGCUUUCUCCCUUUUAUUACUAUUUAAUAAUAUUUUAUUAUGUUUCUCUUAAUAUGCUCUUCAUCUCAGCACAGGUAGUCCUCGACUUACGGCCACAACGGAGGCCAGAAUUUCUGUUGUUAAGCAAGGUGGUCAUUAAGUGAGUCACGCCUAAUUUUUCCUGCCACAGCUGUUCUUGCAGCUGUUAAGUGAGUCAUGUGGCCGUUAAACGAAUCCAGCUUCAGAAGGAAGGUCCCAAAUGGCGAUCAUGUGAUCCCGGGAUACAGCAACCUCAUAAAUACAUCCCGGUUGCCAAGCACCCAAAUUUUAAUCGUGUGACCAUGAGGAUGCGGCAUAGGUUAUAAGGGUCAAGGCCAUGUGGAGCAGAAUAGCAAGCCCCAUGGGUGUGACUGGGACGGAAUAUAUGACUCCCCCCCCCCCAACUUCCCACGUUGGGUAUUUUUAAAAGAGGAACAUGAAGCAACUUUGAAGACCUUUGCAGACUCUCAAAAAGGGGGAGCGGGGUCAGUGGGCAAGAGGGAUGAGCAAUUGCCAAAAGACAAAUGCUUUGCUAUCACUCGACUUAAAUUGUUUGUCAAUGAUUUCCAUUACCUAAAUUAUUAUUAAAUGUCAACAAAAAUCUUAAGAGGAAAAAAAUAUUUUGUGAUUCUUCCUUUAUGUAAAUUUUAUUGCUUACAAGUGGAUUUGCACAGUGUUCUUACAUUUAACCGAACAGCUUGUUACAGAGUGUGCAGAAAUCUAUUGAUCUACUGAAGCUUUGGUGAAAUAGGCAAUCCAGUUGUUAACGACAGUCCUCUGCAGUAGAGCAAUUUUCAUUUUUUGCGUUAAAACGCCAAUGGAAAGCUAUACAUUCUUUCAAACGGAACAACUGAAAUGCUAAGGAACAGGCUGGCCUGCCUAAAACUACCAGCAGGACUUUUGAGGGACAAAAACAUUCGAACGACACCAACACGGCCACGAGCACAGGUGAUCAAUACGCAGGCCUUUGUAUCGGGUGUUUUUGGAGCGCGAGGGGAUUGUUACAGAAUCAGCAACGUGGCUUCGUGGGCUUCCUGGACCACCGUCUACGUAGGAGGAUGGCGCUUUUCCACACCAGCACAAUGCACCACGCAAGGAGUGCCUUCAGACCCAGGAGGCAGCCUGUCCUCAAAAUCUGACCACUUCCCUUUUUGCAUGUUUCCCCCGCCCCGCUAGACGCUACACAAGAGCCACGAGAGUUGUGGAAAUGUCGCAGUUCCACCGUGGAAUACAACAACAAAAGAUGGAGGCAGCCCAGCAGAUGAGGCAUGAAAGGCCAGGCGUCUGUUGCAUGCAGAGCAGUGGGGGAAGCGGCUGGACGGACAGCAGGACCGGUCACAGACGGCAUGGGGUGAACAUGGCAGAGCAUUUGGCCUUCCCUUCAGGGCUGGCGUGUAAGCAGCCACAGUUUGGAAAAAGACAGAGGGGCCUUCCCUUGGUUUUUUGCUCUUCGGGAAGACGCCCCUCGGAUGACAUCAGACGCCCAUACAGCUUACCUUCCAAAACCAAAAAGGGGGAGCUAAGGGUGCCAAGGGAGGGGGGCGCUGCCUCUCGUCUGAGCAGGCCGGAGCAGCUGCAAUCACAGGGGGAUGCUGCACCAGAGAGGCGGUUUCGUCCUCCUCUAAGAGCUGUGAUUGUGCCGUCAAACUGAAAAAGAGGCCUUGGUUACAGUGAGCACAUUCAGAGUUCGGCUCUUUUAACAGGCUGGCCAAAAAAUUAAAAAAAUAUAUAAAUUCCCUAGGACUUCUCCCCAAUUCGUGUCCCCGGGCCAAACAUAUCAAUCACCCCCCUCAGCAAGCUGGCAACUACAGUACAUGUUAAAUUGCCAAAGCUUGCCAGCUAAACAUUUAAAGUCCACCCCGUUGUGCAAUGGGUGCUAAUGAAAAGGCAUCAGAAAGUGGGGAUAUCUUGACCAGGAGGCCUCAAGGAGGGACAUGGCAGUUGGCAGAUGAAAAAGAAGGGAAGCAGUAAAAAUUCUAAGUUGCCUAGGGGUGCCAUCCAUAUUUUUUGUUUUUCAAUUAAUAAAAUAUCACUAUCAUCGC